GUUGUAGGAGUCAAGGUUUUCAGAGUCAACUGACUUCCUUUGGAGCGCAGAAUAAUGAUCUCCUAAUCUGACACAAAGCAGUGUGUUUGCUACUGUGCCAGACUAUACAUACCUCCCUGAGGUGAAUGUGAACCCAACAAAGGGCAAAUGCAGGGCAGAAAAUGCAGGGUUUGCUGCUGUAGGUGGUACAGCAUCUGAGGUACGAGUAUCAGCUUCAUCUACAUCAAAGUUCGAGGUGUCAGUUGGACUACUGACUUCAGGUCCUCCAAGGAAAAGGGACUCCAACUGGCGCAAGCGACGCUCUCCUGAGGAUGAAGGAAAAAUGGAUGACGCUGCCACCACCAAGAAACUUAUAGAAGUGGAACAAGCAAUGACGAGGUGUACACUGACCUGUGGUGCCAUCU